rnacentral:lncRNA from 1 species
CUGGGGUUGAAGGAAAUGAAACUUUUGGUGAAUGUAUCUUGAGUAACUCAUCCACUCUCUUCUCGUUAUCACUUAGAUCAAUAUCAAUACUGGGCUCAAGUUCUUCUAUUGGGCUCGUCUCAGUACUAAUCUCUUCUUCUAAAUUCUCUUUUUGGCUAGCAUUAGUACUAGCCUCACUCAUCUGAUCUUAGUAUGGGUUCUUAAGAAUCCUACCACUUCUAAGUUCAGUAAUUGCUUUGGCAUU